rnacentral:rRNA from 1 species
GACGAACGCUGGCGGCGUGCUUAACACAUGCAAGUCGAACGGAAAGGCCUCUUUCGGGGGGUACUCGAGUGGCCAACGGGUGAGUAACACGUGAGUAACCUGCCCUUGACUUUGGGAUAACUUCAGGAAACUGGGGCUAAUACCGGAUAGGAGCUCCUGCUGCAUGGUGGGGGUUGGAAAGUUUCUGCGGUUGGGGAUGGACUCGCGGCUUAUCAGCUUGUUGGUGGGGUAGUGGCUUACCAAGGCUUUGACGGGUAGCCGGCCUGAGAGGGUGACCGGCCACAUUGGGACUGAGAUACGGCCCAGACUCCUACGGGAGGCAGCAGUGGGGAAUAUUGCACAAUGGGUGGAAGCCUGAUGCAGCAACGACGUGUGCGGGAUGACGGCCUUCGGGUUGUAAACCGCAUUCGCUCAUGACGAAGCUUUGUGUGACGGUAGUGGGUAAAGAAGCACCGGCUAACUACGUG